rnacentral:sRNA from 12 species
GGUUGCAACAUCCCCGUGGGUUGGGUGGUGGUUCGAAUCGGAGCCGGCACAGUGAAUCCACUGCAACC